AUACGGAGGGUGCAAGCGUUACUCGGAAUCACUGGGCGUAAAGCGCGCGCAGGCGGCUAUUUAAGUUGGAUGGGAAAGCCUACGGCUCAACCGUAGAACUGCAUCCAAAACUAUUUAGCUAGAGUGUGGGAGAGGAAGAUGGAAUUAGUUGUGUAGGGGUAAAAUCCGUAGAGAUAACUAGGAAUACCAAAAGCGAAGGCAAUCUUCUGGAACACUACUGACGCUGAGGCGCGAAAGCGUGGGGAGCAGACAGGAUUAGAAACCCUAGUAGUCC
rnacentral:rRNA from 1 species